rnacentral:sRNA from 1 species
AAUAGCGAGGCAGCAGUGCAGCUUUCAGAGGGUCCGGGCUCAGAGGGGCUAUGAUUCGGAGGGUUCUGCCGCACGGCAUGGGCCGGGGCCUCUUGACCCGGAGGCCAGGCACGCGCAGAGGAGGCUUUUCUCUGGACUGGGAUGGAAAGGUGUCUGAGAUUAAGAAGAAGAUCAAGUCGAUCCUGCCUGGAAGGUCCUGUGAUCUACUGCAAGACACCAGCCACCUGCCUCCCGAGCACUCGGAUGUGGUGAUCGUGGGAGGUGGGGUGCUUGGCUUGUCUGUGGCCUAUUGGCUGAAGAAGCUGGAGAGCAGACGAGGUGCUAUUCGAGUGCUAGUGGUGGAACGGGACCACACGGUGAGGUCUGGGGUAGGGCAGAGUCAUGAGUGGGGCAAGAAAGAUGACUCAUUUUAUUAAGGACUCUAGCGACAAGGGAAGGAGAGGAGGGGAAGACCUCAAUCUCGGGGGGUCCAACGGACAGAGAUUGUGCUUUGGACUUUGUUGAGAAAUUUUCCUAGGCUCUUCCUCAGUCGAACCAGGAAGCUUGGCAAUAAGGUUUGUUCUUUUGAAAGCAGAUAUCA